CCUACGGGUGGCUGCAGUGAGGAAUAUUGGUCAAUGGGCGCGAGCCUGAACCAGCCAAGUAGCGUGAAGGAUGAAUGCCCUACGGGUUGUAAACUUCUUUUAUAAAGGAAUAAAGUGUGGCACGCGUGCCUUUUUGUAUGUACUUUAUGAAUAAGCAUCGGCUAACUCCGUGCCAGCAGCCGCGGUAAUACGGAGGAUCCGAGCGUUAUCCGGAUUUAUUGGGUUUAAAGGGAGCGUAGAUGGGUUGUUAAGUCAGUUGUGAAAGUUUGCGGCUCAACCGUAAAAUUGCAGUUGAUACUGGCAGUCUUGAGUACAGGUGAGGUAUGCGGAAUGCGUGGUGUAGCGGUGAAAUGCAUAGAUAUCACGAAGAACUCCGAUUGCGAAGGCAGCUUACUAAAUUGCCACUGACAUUGAUGCUCGAAAGUGUGGGUAUCAAACAGGAUUAGAUACCCUUGUAGUC
rnacentral:rRNA from 1 species